rnacentral:lncRNA from 1 species
GAUGUUUGAACCUGUGAAUAUAUGAUCUUGAACUGUUUGUUUUAAUUUUUCUCCUCAUUUAACAUACAUAUAGACCCACUUAGCAUCAUUUUGAUUUGUGCUUUUUCCAAAGUUACAAUGUUGUAAAAUAAUUAAGACAAUACUUUAUUUUGAAUCAUAAACUUCCACAGUUGCAUUGUUUGGUAGCAUGAAUAAUUUUUCCUUUAGCAUAGGAGUUCAUAUUAAGCCUCAUACACACUUGCGAACAGAAUGGCGAGCCGCAACCAGAAGAGUACGCCGAACUUCGCUGCAAACACUGACAUGUGGUGCGGUUGCUCGGUUCGCUGUUUUUCCAUCUGUCAAAACUACAAUGUAUCGACAACAAGAAAUGGCAGUCUGUUAUAUUUAUGUUCAUCUUG